AGUGAACGCUGGCGGUAGGCCUAACACAUGCAAGUCGAACGGCAGCACAGUAAGAGCUUGCUCUUACGGGUGGCGAGUGGCGGACGGGUGAGGAAUACAUCGGAAUCUACUUUUUCGUGGGGGAUAACGUAGGGAAACUUACGCUAAUACCGCAUACGACCUACGGGUGAAAGCAGGGGAUCUUCGGACCUUGCGCGAAUGAAUGAGCCGAUGUCGGAUUAGCUAGUUGGCGGGGUAAAGGCCCACCAAGGCGACGAUCCGUAGCUGGUCUGAGAGGAUGGUCAGCCACACUGGAACUGAGACACGGUCCAGACUCCUACGGGAGGCAGCAGUGGGGAAUAUUGGACAAUGGGCGCAAGCCUGAUCCAGCCAUACCGCGUGGGUGAAGAAGGCCUUCGGGUUGUAAAGCCCUUUUGUUGGGAAAGAAAAGCAGCAGGUUAAUACCCCGCUGUUCUGACGGUAACCAAAGAAUAAGCGCCGGCUAACUUCGUG
rnacentral:rRNA from 1 species